rnacentral:sRNA from 1 species
UUCCUUAGCUUCGUUCUUCAGUUCCAAUUCCAUAAAGCUUUGUGUGAGGCAGCUGGGUUUGACGGACCCCUACAUAGUGUAAUAUUUACAACAGCACCAGAGCUGGGACUAAAUUGAGUGAAAUGUUACGACACGGAGCAACUCAAACCUGGCAAAAGAGUCUCAGAGUGCUGACAGGUACAAACAGAAUGGACGCUCAGCCUUUGCUGGACUACUUCAAGCCUUUAAUGGAAUACCUAAAGAAAGAAAAUGCUGAAGAUAUCGACUGGCAACCAAAUUGUCCGUUCAAUAACAACUAGAUCGACAACAUCAUGAGAUACAUUGAAAUAGGUUGAGCAGUACAGUAGACCACACCAGACAAGUAUGGACCUUUGUACGUUGACACGACCUGUAAUAAAACAAGACAUUCCAGUAAAAUAAAGCAAAUAAUAACAUG